rnacentral:rRNA from 1 species
AUACGGAGGGUGCGAGCGUUAAGCGGAAUUACUGGGCGUAAAGCGCGCGUAGGCGGUUGGGUAAGUCGGAUGUGAAAGCCCCGGGCUUAACCUGGGAAUUGCAUUCGAUACUGCCCGGCUAGAGUAUGGUAGAGGGAAGCGGAAUUCCGGGUGUAGCGGUGAAAUGCGUAGAUAUCCGGAGGAACACCAGUGGCGAAGGCGGCUUCCUGGACCAAUACUGACGCUGAGGUGCGAAAGCGUGGGGAGCAAACAGGAUUAGAAACCCUUGUAGUCC